CCUGAAUUUGCCUCGCACAAGGCUUCCUACUCUUCCAGUUCGAGUCCUAACUCCUGUGGCACAGUGUCCUUGCCCCCAUCUAAGAGGUCCCAGCUGGCCUGCAGGCACAGGUUCACAUCCCCUGAGGAGUCAGGGUAGCUGUGGACGCCAGCGGCCACUGGCCCCACCCCGCCUGUGAGGAACCCAGGCUCUUCCUGGCUCAGCAAUGGUCCUCUCACCACCACAGGCUCCUACACCGGGCAGCAGGGUCUGGGUGAGGAAGGCCUGCGGGUGCUGUCCUGUUCCUCCCACUGCUCUCUGUCCCUCUUCCCCAGGAUGCUGUGAGACCUUGGGACUCAACCUUCUAUCCCUGCCGCAGAGGGGACCGUGCUGUACUUCCCUCACCUUGGCCACAUUUGUCUGCUCUCUGGGGUCAUCAAAGUGGCUUCAGUCCUGUUCCACUUACCAUGUGUCAGUCCCAGCUCCUCCUCUGGCACUGUCCCUUCUGUCCCCCAGUCCAGCCAUGGCCGGAGGGACAGGAGGACAACGGGAAGUCGGAUCAGCUCUCCAGUCCUCCCAGACCAGCUUCUCCACACAUGCACGUGUGCACACACACAUGGACUUCUUGUCUGGGACACAGGAACAGCAAAGUCCUCAGCCAGGGACCUGGUGAACAGGCCUGAGACACGUCCAGCGCCCGGGGGGGCAGGCCCUCGGCAUCCCCUGCUCUCAGCACAGCACACAGCUCCCCCUGCCCAGUGGAGGUCCACAGUGCAGGUCCCACGGAGCAGCCCAGGGUGGUGUUUCUUCUUUUUCUAGUAUUUACUUCAUAAAACAGCAUCUUCAGUGCAGAAUGAUCACACGAAUCUUGGGAAUCGGUGUUUGGACCGACAUGGCUUUCCUCUUCUUGACCCCACCUUCUCCCCGCCCGCUCCCCC
rnacentral:lncRNA from 1 species